AUAUUUUUUUCUUAUAUCUUUUGACAUAAUAUGUUCAUAUUAUUGGCAGAUAGCACCUCAUGAUUGAAGGGAAGUAUGGCUUUAGAAGAAUUUUUUCAGAAGUUUCUCGAUGUCCAAACCAUUAAAUAUAAAAUGUGUGCCAAAGAAAGCAGCACAGUACCUAGUUCAGAUAAUAAUCCUUACUCAAGGUAAUCUGAUUGUUCCAUAGCGAUUAACUAACAGAUAAUAAUCCUUACUCAAGGUAAUCUGAUUGUUCCAUAGCCAUUAACUAACAGAUAAUAAUCCUUACUCAAGGUAAUCUGAUUGUUCCAUAGCCAUUAACUAACAGAUAAUAAUCCUUACUCAAGGUAAUCUGAUUGUUCCAUAUCCAUUAACUAACAGAUAAUAAUCCUUACUCAAGGUAAUCUGAUUGUUCCAUAGCCAUUAACUAACAGAUAAUAAUCCUUACUCAAGGUAAUCUGAUUGUUCCAUAUCCAUUAACUAACAGAUAAUAAUCCUUUCUCAAGGUAAUCUGAUUGUUCCAUAUCCAUUAACUAACAGAAAAUAAUCCUUUCUCAAGGUAAUCUGAUUGUUCCAUAGCCAUUAACUAACAGAUAAUAAUCCUUACUCAAGGUAAUCUGAUUGUUCCAUAGCCAUUAACUAACAGAUAAUAAUCCUUACUCAAGGUAAUCUGAUUGUUCCAUAGCCAUUUACUAACAGAUAAUAAUCCUUACUCAAGGUAAUCUGAUUGUUCCAUAGCCAUUUACUAACAGAUAAUAAUCCUUACUCAAGGUAAUCUGAUUGUUCCAUAGCCAUUAACUAACAGAUAAUAAUCCUUACUCAAGGUAAUCUGAUUUUUCCAUAGCCAUUAACUAACAGAUAAUAAUAAAUAAUCCUUACUCAAGGUAAUCUGAUUGUUCCAUAUCCAUUAACUAACAGAAAAUAAUCCUUACUCAAGGUAAUCUGAUUGUUCCAUAGAGAUUAACUAACAGAAAAUAAUCCUUACUCAAGGUAAUCUGAUUGUUCCAUAUCUAUUGUUCCAUAUCCAUUAACUAACAGAAAAUAAUCCUUUCUCAAGGUAAUCUGAUUGUUCCAUAUCCAUUAACUAACAGAAAAUAAUCCUUUCUCAAGGUAAUCUGAUUGUUCCAUAGCCAUUUACUAACAGAAAAUAAUCCUUUCUCAAGGUAAACUGAUUGUUCCAUAUCCAUUAACUAACAGAUAAUAAUAAAUAAUCCUUACUCAAGGUAAUCUGAUUGUUUCAUAUCCAUUAACUAACAGAUAAUAAUCCUUACUCAAGGUAAUCUGAUUGUUCCAUAGCCAUUAACUAACAGAAAAUAAUCCUUACUCAAGGUAACCCGAUUGUUCCAUAGCCAUUAACUAAGCUGUUUUAGAAAAUUUUGUUUAUUCUUGAUCAUUUCUAUGGAAUAGACUACCAUACUAAAUGUGUAAAGUGCAAAACACUUUUACUUUUAAAUAAAGUAGUUGACAUAGUCAUGACAAUUUCAUAUAUGCUUGUAACUGUUUGUGAAAUGUAUUAUUUUGAUUUGUUUAUUAUAUUUUUUAUUUUUGUUACUACAUGCACCUCUUUAACUGUAUAUCUUUUAUAAAGAUAUAUUAAACUAUAUGAUUGUAAAUUAACUAUGUUUGAAUAUCUGUUUUAGAUUUUAUUGUAUGUGAGGAACUCAGGAAAGAUUAGUUUGUCGUAAUUAAUUGUACUGUGUUUCUUUCUUUAAGAAUAAAGAAUUUAUUAUUAUUAUUAAUAUUAUUGUCAUACAAUUU